rnacentral:misc_RNA from 1 species
GUGGUUAAGUCUCAAAGGUUCUGGGGGGUUGCUUUCUUUGGUCUUGCUUGAUGCAUCUGUACCUGUGCAGAACUUGGAUUUCAAAUUAAACAUGCCAACCCCUCUUAAUCUCUCUUCUUCGGGUGUGCUAUAUAACAUGAAGGAUAAAUUUCAUGCAUGUUCUCUGUCAUUGUCAAAGGAGCUUCAUGCAAAGAACGUGGGUGACUUCCCCUUGGAGGUCAAAAAAAUUGAAAUCUCUGGAACAGAGUGUGGAACAGAUGGGUUCGUAAUAAAUGGUUGUAAAGGCUUUUCUCUUGAACCUGAGGAGUCUAUAAAGCUUGAGAUAUCAUAUCAUACUGAUUUUUCUGCUGCCACUAUACAUAGAGAUCUUGAACUGGCUUUGGCAACUGGCAUACUUGUUAUACCAAUGAAAGCUAGCCUUCCUAUCUGUGUGCUUCAUUUCUGCAAGAGGUCUUUGUUCUGGACGAGGGUGAAGAAAUUGCUCGUCACUAUUCUCUUUCUAACUUCUUUAUUCUUUCUAGUUCUGUGGUGCAUCAUACCCCAAGUGGUGGCCUUUGGCUCCCAUGAGUGCUUGCCUAAGAGUGGAAAAAGCUAUAUGACAUCUGUUAGUCAUGCUGGAAAAUUGUCUCGCAUGCAUCCCACUGAGAAACAGAUUGGCAAGUUUGUCUUCUCCUUUAAAUUGAACAGUUUGCUUCGGUCAAUUGGGGAAGGAUAUAACUCUGCAUCAGAUACCCAAAAGGGAAUGGAGGUGUCGUCCUCUACAAAGCCUGUAGCAAUUCAGAGUUCUGAUACAUAUGAAACCUCAAAAACUGGUAAUCUCACUGUCAAAAUUGCAAAAGAAAAAGGGAGGAGGCGGAAGAAGAAAAAGAAUUCUGCGACUGCUUUGGUUGGACUUUUUGAUGUUUCAAGUAGUCAUAGUGGCAAUUCUACACCAUCAUCACCCCUGUCUCCUACCUCAAAUUUAACACCUCGUCGGCCAUCUCCCCAGUCUGCUGUUGUGGAUCGACCUGUUAAGCUCAUCAAUCCCUUUGCUGAUGUUGGUAGUCAUCAAUGUAAAAAAAAUAUACACUCCGAAUUUGCAUCUCAGAGGAAUGUCUUGCAGAGAGAGGUAACAUUAACGGAUGGUGGAAAAAAUUCUUGUCCUCCUCAAGAGAAGCCUGGUGCACCUAAAAGAUCAGCCAGCAAACCUGUUCUUCUGCCUUCAGCAACCUUCCCUUGUGCUGAUAAAUCUGUUCCUCGCUUGAUGUGUCGUCAACCAGUUCUGGCUUCAAGUUCUGUAAUUGCUCCUCAUUUACGAGCUCCUGGAUCUAAACCUCCAAAUCAGAUGGCACUUAAAACUGAUAAAAAGAUGGGUAUGGAGGAAAAGUUUACUUAUGAUAUUUGGGGUGACCAUCUUUCCAAUCUUCCCCUUGUAGGUAGGUCAAAGGAGGUAUUGGAGACGCCUCCGCGUGCUUUAGAAAACAGCUCCAGUAGUUUCUUUCUAAGGGGUCCACAGACCCUUAUUACCAACUACCAACAAAUAACUGUAAGUUCUGACCGUGAAGGUUAAUGAUAAUUUAGUUAAAA